UAUUGGUGAGAGUCUAGUUACACGGACACAUAUAAUAAACAGUGCUAUAGAUUCAAAUAAAUAAUCGUUUAUUAUCGCGCUCUAGGUCGGACUAGGUUAGGUUUGGUUAGGUUCGGGUGGGCUUGGAUGGCCUGGGGCCUCAAUUAAAGCCUUUGUUAUUGUUUUGUGUCCGUAUAACUAGACUGUUACCAUUUUAUUCAUCCUAGAAUCAGAAAUUAAAAAUAUAAAAUGCUUCUAACUUAAGGACUGAACAUUAGUUUACAAAAAUGUACAAAUGUAUGUAUUUUUGAAUUCAUCAAGAAUCAACAAUUGCUGUUAAGGCGCAAUCACAAUGUGAAGCUCUUCAACAAUCUCAUCAAAUUCAAAUAAAACGGCAAAUGAAUCAGUCUCAUGUAAAAGAUUAAAUCAGGUGACAAUUAAUUUAUCUUCAAGUAUCUAUAUCUUGAAAGUGAUGUCUUGUGCCCACCAAGAAAUGUUUUAUAUUCAGUUUCUUCUAGUCUUACAAUUCAAAUGCCAUGUCAAGUGUGAAAAUUGUCAGAACCAGACCAUGAAUCGGCAAAAUUUUACCCAAAAAUCCUUCGUUACUCAUCUUUGACUUAAAAUUAUUUCAUGAUCUUGCCAUGUUUUUGUUGCAAAUCCAACAAUUUCUCAGCACCAAUACAUUUGCUUAAAAUGUUGGAUCAGUGGAUAGAUUGUAAAUCUGAUAAAAUUAGUUCUGAGUAAACAAAAUUUUCCUCAACUAUCCAUUCUCAAGUGAAACCAGCUUCAGAUGAAUAAUUGAAAAAAAAACGAAAUAAUGUUGAAAAUCUGUUGAUGAUGUUGUUCAUUAGAGCAAAUUGAUCACCUACUACGCGAUAUUACCAUUUGAAUGUAAAGAGUAAUCAAUAACCUUCAUUUGUUUACCUCAUCAUUUGUGUAUUAUGAUUCAUGAACAUCUUUUAAUUAUGAUUCCUAUCAGUGAAUGUUUAACAUUAAUCAUUAAAAUCCUCUUUUUGUGCUUUUU